rnacentral:rRNA from 1 species
UACGUAGGGUGCGAGCGUUUGUCCGGAAUUAUUGGGCGUAAAGAGCUCGUAGGCGGCUUGUCGCGUCGGAUGUGAAAGCCCGGGGCUUAACUCCGGGUCUGCAUUCGAUACGGGCAGGCUAGAGUUCGGUAGGGGAGAUCGGGAUUCCUGGUGUAGCGGUGAAAUGCGCAGAUAUCAGGAGGAACACCGGUGGCGAAGGCGGAUCUCUGGGCCGAUACUGACGCUGAGGAGCGAAAGCGUGGGGAGCGAACAGG